UUCUAGUGAAGGAAAGCUGUGUGACACCUGGCAUUCCUCUAUGUUCAUGGAGCUUUUUUGAGGCUGGAAUAUUGAUUCUACCAUCUAGACCUCUCUGGCUAAUACCUUUUCUUCAACCACAUAGGUUACUCUCACAUAGGAAUUUACUUCUUUUCCUUGAAUGGAAAACACUUAAAAAAUAACAACCAUUAUUAUAAACCAAUAUAUGUGAGAGUACUUAGUUGAAACAAAAAGAAGUUUUAGUAGACAGUAUUCUACUACAUUUGAAAAUCAAGGAGAUGUUUAUGCAACUUAAAAUGUGUACAAACUGCAGUGCAAUCUACUGUUUGUGAAUGUCAGAGUAUUUUGAGGAAAAGUGUCUAUACAAUUACAGAGUUAUAUUUCCUCACAAAGUUCUUUAUGAAGAGUGAAAUAUGUUCUUAUACCUCUCAGUUUCAGUUAGAGGCAUAUUUUGUGUCAUACUUAUGGUUUAAAAUAGACUUGAGGUCCUGUUCUUACCUUCUAUUUUGUGAACUUGCCGCUUUUGCAUUAUUUGAGUUCACUUGAAAGACAGUUACUUUAAGUCCAUUUUAAACCCUCGGGCUAGAAAUCGUACCACUGUUAAUUAGCCACAUUAUUUGGUCUAACAGUUUUUCUUUAUCAUUCUGAAACUGGGUUUACCUAAUACAUUGAUAAAUUAUUUUGAAGGAAUUUUUAUAGUUCCAGUCACUUCACUUUUACCCUGACACAUAUAAAUGACUAGGAAUGACCUUCAGAUCGCAUUUAGCAUCUGUAACCAAUCUGACAAUAAUGUGUUCAUCAGGGAGCUAUGGAUUAAAUCACAUACUGGCAUAUUUAAGCUGAAUAUCAGCCUGGAAAAUAAAUGUACUAUAUUAACUGAAAUA